rnacentral:rRNA from 1 species
AUUGAACGCUGGCGGCAUGCCUUACACAUGCAAGUCGAACGGUAACGGGCCUUCGGGUGCCGACGAGUGGCGCACGGGUGAGUAAUACAUCGGAACGUGCCCGAUCGUGGGGGAUAACGAGGCGAAAGCUUUGCUAAUACCGCAUACGAUCUACGGAUGAAAGCAGGGGACCGCAAGGCCUUGCGCGGACGGGGCGGCCGAUGGCAGCUGUGGUCGUUGGUGGGGUAAAAGCUUACCAAGCCGACGAUCGGUAGCUGGUCUGAGAGGAGGAUCAGCCACACUGGGACUGAGACACGGCCCAGACUCCUACGGGAGGCAGCAGUGGGGAAUUUUGGACAAUGGGCGCAAGCCUGAUCCAGCCAUGCCGCGUGCAGGAUGAAGGCCUUCGGGUUGUAAACUGCUUUUGUACGGAACGAAAAGCCUUCUUUUAAUACAGGAGGGUCAUGACGGUACCGUAAGAAUAAGCACCGGCUAACUACGUG